GACGAACGCUGGCGGCGUGCUUAACACAUGCAAGUCGAACGGUGAAGCGCCUUCCUUUUUGGUGGGUGUGGAUGAGUGGCGAACGGGUGAGUAACACGUGAGUAACCUGCCCCCUUCUUCUGGAUAACCGCAUGAAAGUGUGGCUAAUACGGGAUAUUCUGGGUCUGUCGCAUGAUGGGUCUGGGAAAGAUAUUGUUUCGGUGGGGGAUGGGCUCGCGGCCUAUCAGCUUGUUGGUGGGGUGAUGGCCUACCAAGGCGGUGACGGGUAGCCGGCCUGAGAGGGUGGCCGGUCACACUGGGACUGCGACACGGCCCAGACUCCUACGGGAGGCAGCAGUGGGGAAUAUUGCACAAUGGGCGCAAGCCUGAUGCAGCGACGCCGCGUGAGGGAUGGAGGCCUUCGGGUUGUGAACCUCUUUCGCCAGUGAAGCAGGCCUGCCUCGUUUGUGGGUGGGUUGACGGUAGCUGGAUAAGAAGCGCCGGCUAACUACGUG
rnacentral:rRNA from 1 species